AAAUUUUGUUAAAUUACAUAAAAAUCGUAAUUUUAAAAUUUGCAUAAAACAAAAGUUGUAUAUUCCCUUUGAGAUUGUAUAGAAUUCCAUUAUAACUGUGAUAUUUCUUCUGUUUUAGGUUUCAGCUUCCUAGACCUCAGAUGCAACAAGCCUGUCUAUCUUACAAAUCAAAAGAAAUUUAUUUUUCUGAAACAUGUAAAGAGAAACAAGGCUACAUUUGUAAGAAGCACCUUAUUUAUCCUACAAUGUCAUAAUAGAGAUGAAAGUUACUUUUUUUAAUCCCAUGUCCUGACAGCACUGCCAAGCUUUAUACAUAAAAUAAUGUAAAUUUAUAUCUUUGAUAUAAUAAAAAUGAUAUCUAUACAAAUACAUUCCAGUGUCACUAAAGUAUACUAUAAUUUUGUUGAGCAGAUAGUUUUAUUUACAUGACUUUUCAUGAAAUAACACUGAUAGUAUUUAGGAGAAUAUUCAUUUUAUGAAACUUAUAAUAAAUGAUUUCUGAAUUAAGCAGUGAGAUAAGGUUAGAAUGUUGAAUAGUAAAGAUCCUAUGUUAUAUAUAGUUAUAUGAUUGUUACUAUCAUUGUACAUCGUGUGUGUGUGUAUGUGUGUGUACAUACAUGCAUGGCCUAUAAAAUUAUUAAAAUUUAGUGUUAAGCAAUAGCAAAGAUUUUAUAUGGAAAGAAAAACUGUAUGAUUACAAAAGAAAUAGAAUGGUUUCAUAAAUUUUGCAGAUUAGUUUUUCAUCUUAUUACAAUAUAAAUGUCCAAUUAGAACAACAAUCUUUUCAGAUAUCUCUAGGCACAUGGAGAUAACUAGAGACACAAGCACAAAUUUGAGUGAUACAGAAGGCUUUGGUUUAAAAUACCAAUUGUAAAAUUUCUAUUUCUUUAAAUUGUUCUGUUAGAUAAGUAUCUUUAAAAGAUAUGAAAUAAACAAUUAUUUACUUCUGGGCUGGGGAUGUGGCUCAAGCGGUAGCGCGCUCGCCUGGCAUGCGUGCGGCCCAGGUUCGAUCCUCAGCACCACAUACAAAAAACGAAGAUGUUGUGUCUGCCAAAAACUA
rnacentral:lncRNA from 1 species